AACACAGAACUCUUUUCACUUUUUCUAAGCUUGAGUGACAGCUGUGGGUGGAGCUGCUUGUGGAGGGUAGAAUUUACAGCUCUAUACUUGCUGACCUUUGACCCCUACAGUAAUUUUCCCCUUGGACUCAGGGCUCGACCUGAAUCUGACAAAACUUUCAUUUGCAUGUAUACCAUUUCAUUAUUUCAUAUAUAUAUAUGUUUCAAUGCUGAUGAUACCAAGCAAUGAAGUGUUUCUGUUAUUUUGUCCCAUUCUUCCUGUAAACACAUAUUAAGGUUUCUGGAUCCUCUUCUUCCAGCUGAGUCUUUAUAAUAAUGAGAGCAGCGUGUAAAAGACGUGGUUUUGGAAGCAGCAUGUGUUGCUCUAUUAAUUCUGCAUCACAGAAGCUCCUGACCUAAACCCAGACCAUGAACCUGGAUACAGUCAAGUUUUAGUCUGAAUUUCUCUUUUUGUAAUCCUGAUCAGGUCUGAGCUCAGUUUGUUCCCACUGUGUGAUCAUUGAUUAUCCAGGUUUAGUUUAGUACAGAAGUGGGCGGAGCUUCUGGUCAUGGUGAACAUAAGGCUUGUGUUGUGUACAGUAGUAAAGUUGUAGUAAAGUGGUAUUAGUGAAUAUAGUAACUCUGUAUUGUAGAGAAGUGGGCGGAGCUUUGUAAGUGGUAUUAGUGAAUAUAGUAACUCUGUAUUGUAGAGAAGUGGGCGGAGCUUUGUAAGUGGUAUUAGUGAAUAUAGUAACUCUGUUUUGUAGAGAGGUGGGCGGAGCUUUGUAAGUGGUAUUAGUGAAUAUAGUAACUCUGUUUUGUAGAGAGGUGGGCGGAGCUUUGUAAGUGGUAUUAGUGAAUAUAGUUUUGCAGAGAGGUGGGCGGAGCUUUGUAUAUGGUAUUAGUGAAUAUAGUUUUGUAGAGAAGUGGGCGGAGCUUUGUAAGUGGUAUUAGUUAAUAUAGUAACUCUGUAUUGUAGAGAAGUGGGCGGAGCUUUGUAUAUGGUAUUAGUGAAUAUAGUAACUGUGUAUUGUAGAGAAGUGGGCGGAGCUUUGUAAGUGGUAUUAGUGAAUAUAGUAACUCUGUUUUAUAGAGAUGUGGGCGGAGCUUUGUUAGUGGUAUUAGUGAAUAUAGUUUUGUAGAGAGGUGGGCGGAGCUUUGUAAGUGGUAUUAGUGAAUAUAGUUUUGUAGAGAGGUGGGCGGAGCUUUGUAAGUGGUAUUAGUGAAUAUAGUUUUG